rnacentral:tRNA from 1 species
UGACUUAGCUUAGUUGGUAGAGCAAUCGUCUCGUAAGCGAUAGGUCGUAAGUUCGAAUCUUAUAGUCA